rnacentral:rRNA from 1 species
GAUCCUGGCUCAGAAUCAACGCUGGCGGCGUGCCUAACACAUGCAAGUCGCACGAGAAAGGGUAGCAAUACCUGAGUAAAGUGGCGCACGGGUGAGUAACACGUGAAUCAUCUACCUCCGAGUGGGGAAUAACUGAGAGAAAUCUUAGCUAAUACCGCAUAACACUUACGAGUCAAAGCAGCAAUGCGCUUGGAGAGGAGUUCGCGGCAGAUUAGUUAGUUGGCGGGGUAAUGGCCCACCAAGACGAUGAUCUGUAUCCGGCCUGAGAGGGCGCACGGACACACUGGAACUGAAACACGGUCCAGACUCCUACGGGAGGCAGCAGUGGGGAAUUUUGCGCAAUGGGGGAAACCCUGACGCAGCAACGCCGCGUGGAGGAUGAAAUCCCUUGGGAUGUAAACUCCUUUCGAUAGGGAAGAUAAUGACGGUACCUAUAGAAGAAGCCCCGGCUAACUUCGUGCCAGCAGCCGCGGUAAUACGAGGGGGGCAAGCGUUGUUCGGAUUUAUUGGGCGUAAGGGGUGCGUAGGCGGUUUGGCAAGUCUUGUGUGAAAUCUUCGGGCUCAACCCGAAGCCUGCACAAGAAACUGCCGGGCUUGAGUACGGGAGAGGUGAGUGGAAUUUCCGGUGCAGCGGUGAAAUGCGUAGAUAUCGGAAGGAACACCUGUGGCGAAAGCGGCUCACUGGACCCA